rnacentral:rRNA from 1 species
UACGUAGGGUCCGAGCGUUAUCCGGAAUUACUGGGCGUAAAGCGUACGUAGGCGGCGCGUUAAGUGAUAUGCGAAAUCCAGCGGCUCAACCGUUUGGACUGUAUAUCAGACUGACGUGCUAGAGGAUACGAGAGGCAAGUGGAAUUGGUAGUGUAGCAGUGAAAUGCGUAGAUAUUACCAGGAACACCAAUGGCGAAGGCAGCUUGCUGGCGUAUUUCUGACGCUGAGGUACGAAAGCGUGGGGAGCGAACAGG